CUCAUUAUCGUUGACAUUCAUUGAGAAAGAUAAUGGAAUGGAUUGAACAAAGAUUGCAAUGUGAAUGUGAGAUAUCAGUGGGAUGUUUUUGUGAUCUUUUGGAUUACAUUUGAGGAUCUAUGUUUUGUGAUACAUUAAUUUGGGGAUAUUAAACAAUAACUGUAGGUAAUUGAUUUAGCAUUUUUGGAGGAGUGAUAUAAGUGAAAUUUAAUUUGGCUUGUUUGGAGGAGUGAU
rnacentral:lncRNA from 1 species